UUGGGUUUAAGCUUCUGGCACCCACGCGGGCCUGGGGCUGAGGGGCGGGUGGGGAUCCGAGGUCGAGGCGCGCUCCGGCAUGGCGGAGGCCCGAGCCGCGCCUUCUAAGUCUCUUUGGGCGCCAGCUACGUCGCUUGGGGUGAGCGGUCACAGCCACGCCGGUACAUACUGUGAUUUGUGAAGAUGUACUUGAUCCUUGUACCUGUUUCCUGUCAAGCAGCUGCUAAACCAUUGGAAUUGCUUAAGUGCUAAAUAUCUUUUUUUGUAUACUAAUGAGUUGAUUUGUUGCUGGGGCUCCUGGAUAGCCUAAGAAUGAGGAUCUGGUUGCAUGAAUAAACACGAUUUCUAAAUUA